rnacentral:rRNA from 1 species
GCAUGCCUUCACAUGCAAGUUCGAACGGACAGCACGGGAGCAAUCCUGGAUGGCGAGCUGGCGAACGGGUGAGUAAUACAUCGGAACGAUGUCCUGGAGUGGGGGAUAGCCCGGCGAAAGCCGGAUUAAUACCGCAUACGCUCUGUGGAGGAAAGGGGGGGAUCUUCCGACCUCUCACUCAAGGGGCGGCCGAUGGCAUAUUACCUAGUUGGUGGGUUAAAGGCCUACCAAGGCAACAAUCUGUAACUGGUCUGAGAGGACGACCAGCCACACUGGGACUGAGACAAAUGUGGAGGAAUACCGAUGGCGAAGGCAGCCCCCUGGGCCAAUACUGACGCUCAUGCAGAAAAGCGUCGGGAGCAAACAGGAUUAGAUACCCUGGGUAGUCCACGCCCUAAACGAUGUCAACUGGUUGUCGGGCCUUCAUUGGCUUGGUAACGUAGCUAACGCGUGAAGUUGACCGCCUGGGGAGUACGGUCGCAAGAUUAAAACUCAAAGGAAUUGACGGGGACCCGCACAAGCGGUGGAUGAUGUGGAUUAAUUCGAUGCAACGCGAAAAACCUUACCUACCCUUGACAUGGUCGGAAUCCUGCUGAGAGGUGGGAGUGCCCGAAAGGGAACCGAUACACAGGUGCUGCAUGGCUGUCGUCAGCUCGUGUCGUGAGAUGUUGGGUUAAGUCCCGCAA